CAUGUCUGACCACACCACCCUGAAUAUGUUUGAUCUCAUCUGAUCUUGGAAGCUAAGUAGAAUUAGGCCUGAUUAGUAAUUGGAUGGGAGAUUGUCUGGUAAUCCCAGGUUCUGUAAUAU
rnacentral:rRNA from 1 species